rnacentral:misc_RNA from 1 species
UUUCCGUAGGUGAACCUGCGGAAGGAUCAUUCAUAAUAAAGUGCUUUAUGGCACUUUUUAAAAAUCCAUACCCACCUUGUGUGCAAUGUUAGAUCUCGUCAAUCUUGGCGAGAUUUUUAUACAUCAACUCAUUCUUUAACUAAUUUGUCUGAAAAAUAUUAUGAAUACUUAAUUCAAAAUACAACUUUCAACAACGGAUCUCUUGGCUCUC